CCUACGGGUGGCAGCAGUGAGGAAUAUUGGUCAAUGGACGCAAGUCUGAACCAGCCAUGCCGCGUGCAGGAAGACGGCUCUAUGAGUUGUAAACUGCUUUUGUACGAGGGUAAAUCCCGAUACGUGUAUCGGGGUGAAAGUAUCGUACGAAUAAGGAUCGGCUAACUCCGUGCCAGCAGCCGCGGUAAUACGGAGGAUUCAAGCGUUAUCCGGAUUUAUUGGGUUUAAAGGGUGCGUAGGCGGUUCGAUAAGUUAGAGGUGAAAUCCCGGGGCUCAACUCCGGCACUGCCUCUGAUACUGUCAGGCUAGAGUUUAGUUGCGGUAGGCGGAAUGUAUGGUGUAGCGGUGAAAUGCAUAGAGAUCAUACAGAACACCGAUUGCGAAGGCAGCUUACCAAACUACGACUGACGUUGAGGCACGAAAGCGUGGGGAGCAAACAGGAUUAGAUACCCCUGUAGUC
rnacentral:rRNA from 1 species